rnacentral:lncRNA from 1 species
CCUGGGCGGGGAGGAGACGUCUGCAGAGAAGCACAGCGGCAUAACCAUGCUAGGCUUUUGAAGAAGUUGAUGGCUGCAACUGUYUGGGGACUCUACAAUACUUCAAACAAAUCCCAUGUCUUCUCAGGACACUCAGCUUAAAAAAAGCUUGCUUGUAUAAACAGGGCUUUCCUUGCCUGCCUUAUAGCCUGAUUCCGCAAGUUUGAGUUUUCCAGCACCAAGCACAGUGUGGACACUGCAAGAAAAAGAUACCAAAUAAGAGAUCCAGUCCUUGCAGCAAGAAAUGGAUACACGCUUCAAGAUGAUGCAUUAAACAUUCCUGAGGAAAAGUACAGUGAUGGCUCCCAGUACGCUUUGUGCGUCUUCCAGAGGGUGUCAGAUCUCCAAACCAACCUGUAACUGAAGACAGGAGACCUGGUGGGGGAGAGCUCUGUCUGUAACCAGACUGUGCAGGCAGCGUCUCCUUGCAGAAAGUGAGCUCACAAGGACUUUCAUCUGUAAUUGCUGAACC